CCAGUCCCAGGGUAACGGCUCGCAAAAUGGCGGCGCCCAACUCGGAGUGAGGAGACGUUCGGUUCUCUCCUACGAUUUCCGCACAAACACUGACUCUCAAUAAAGGAGUUUCGAAAUCUGUUCUGUUCUCCCCAACUGUUCUGGCUCUAAGAUACAGACACCUGGGAUUGAAAUGGAGAAAAUAAAUGUACUCAUUGUUAACAUUUGCAAAAAUCAAUUUCAUUGGCAAAUGUCAGUUUGUGCAGAUGGUGUAUAAGAAAUUCUUUGACAAAGCCCACGAUGUCGACAUCUACUCAAUGGAAUUGUGUUAUAGCAAAUUUGCUUUGCUGGAAUACGCAUAAUGGCAGAACCCCUUUAUAAAUGAUCUGAAGCACUUGU